UCCACGCGCACCUCCCCGGCCGAAAUCGACGGCGCCCCACUGCUCCGCCCCGAGGAGACAGGCGUACGAGCGACGGAAGUACCGCACCACCGGCAGCGCAGAGGAAGAGAGAGGCGCAGCCAAAGCACCCUCGCCGCCCGCCUCCUCCCCCCCGCCGGCCGCAGUUUCUCGCCGCCGCGCCGCCAACGCCCUGCUCGACCCCCGCGCGUGAUCACGGAUCAAGGGUAGUUGGUACUGGUAGCUUGGUAUAGAUCAUGGUGCUAUUGUGUUUGAUAAGUUAUGAAAGGCUAAGGACACCUUUUUGUAUGUCGGGAGUACCUUUCAAAGUAUCAACCAUACGCGCUGAGGUGCUGCUCAAUGAGACAUUGUUGGAGACAUUCUAGAUCGUCCCUAAGUUGUUAAAGAGAGACUUGUGCUCCCGAACAUAGCAGCCAGCCUGUGAAGGAGGAAAGUGCAGCAGUACUCUUCACAAGGCCUAUUGACUCAUCCUCACCAGCAAAUGUGUCAUAGAGAUGCAUCCAAUAAUACAGCUCAUACGUCCAAGAAGACACAGGAUAUAAACAAAGCGAAUUAAAGUGCAUAUGCCACAUAAGUUGAAACGGCAUGGUUUUUGGAGCAAUUAGCACAUCCCCGCUUGUUUCGUAUCGCAACGAUUAAAACCAACCGGUGCGUGUGUGCCCGUGGGGGUUAAUGUCACCAUCUGUUCCUCCUCCAUGCAGGACUUGCGGUUGGGCCGAGAUAAACCGACUUUUAGCACCUUGAGCCAAGAGAAAGCUCGCUCACUGAAGCACUCCGGGCGACCCUGCUGCCAUGGUGCAUGCAUUAUCUAGAAGGGGGUGGGAGAUAAGGGACGGCAGCGGCGUGGCGAUUAGCAAGGCUGGCAUUAGAAGAUCACGGGGGUAGGGCGAGUUUGACGAAUGAACGGGAGGGCAUCUUUUCCGGGGUCCCCAACAGGACAUAGGUCCACCCCCUCCCUCCCUCCCUCCCUACAGCACCACACAGGCACAGGCCCAAGGUGACUUACUCGCCCACUUUUCAAUUCAUCCCUUCCAAUUGGGCUUACGAUAAUACUAUUGUUACGAUCAGCAGCAUUAUGCAUGAGAGAGAAAGAGGAGAGAGAGAGAGAGAGAGAGAGAGAGAGAGAGAGAGAGAGAGGGAGAGGGAGAGGCGUUAAAUUUGUGAUGCAUGGGUCCUGCCGUCCUGGCGAUGAUGAACGAAUGAUCGGUACAGCCGGGAUUCAAGAGGGCUAAAAGAAGAGAUCAGAACAGGACGGACGGCAUCCCAUAGUACGCCCGGCGGGCCCGUCGAAGCCAACACUGGUGCACGCGUACCUUUCGUCUCAUUUCCUCUCCCCUCGUCUCCUCCUCUCUAGUCUCCAGAAGAGAGAAAAGAAGAGGGAGGAGAGAGAGUCGUAGGACACUGGGCCGUCGUCGGUAGGGGUGGGGGUACCGUCCAACCCAAUCCAAUCCACCCAUCCAUUGCUCCCAUGUAGACACAGUCAGUGGCUGGCUACCCAUCGAUGGAUGGAGCGAACGAUGCAGCUAGCGAGGCUGCUAGGGGGCCAAAGGGGAAAAGGGACCACGUCUCCCGCGCGCGCGUGUGUGCCAACCAACUCGACGCGCACUCGCGCUAUAGGCUGCUAAGCUACUGUACAAACCUCCUACGAAUGAGUAUGUUCAUGUCGCAAAUAGUUGGCAGCUGCCCUGGGCCUGGGGUAGCUACCCGGCCACUUCCCCUUGCCCGCUCUCUCGCUCGAUUCCCCGUUGAAUUCGGACGGACCAUGGAUGAAACGCUUGAAAGUUGCCUUCAAUUCAUACGGCGAAACUUUAACGACGAUGCGACGCGGAACCCGGUGAAACUUCUCUCAAACAUGUGCGUGCAGAUACAUCUUUAUCUUUCUGUAUGCAUAUCUGUUCUUUUGGUAGAAUAUAAUCUAUCUGUAUGUGUACAAGAUGCUUUAUUUUACGUGGUCGGAGCAAGUGAAUACUGCUGUCGCCCCUUUUUAGCCGUGUUUCGUCCCUGUCCGUGGCUAGCUGUCAGCCGUGCGCGCGUGUGUGUGGUAUCCAUGCGUCCGUAGCCAAUUCUGCGCCUCCUGUAUCCCACAUAACCCCAAUGCAUGCCUCUGUGGAAUGCAUGCAUGUGGGCGCUAUAGAAUGGCGUAAUCGGCAAGAAUCUGGGGUAACAUGGCCUGCUUGCCAUAGGUUUGCGGCAAGGAGUGCUGUUUAAGUACAAGAGGACAUUCAUUCCACGCCACACAAACACACACGAAUGCCACUCUACUAAACAUGCUACAAAUACUACUCGCAUAGCGUGGGCACGCGCUUUACCGCCCUGAUUAAAAUACCUGAUGUAGUCAUUUCAAUUUGUUUUCGCAUGGCUUUGCCUCUUGUUUUUGCCGUUUGUGUACCUUGGUGGCCAAUUUGAACAAUUCCGAUGUUCUCGGUUCUGAGUCCUGCAACUAUGUGAAGAUUUUAGGGGUUUUCUGACCGUGCUUAAUCGAACGGUCCUCUUGCCAUUUCUCCUUCUCAUGCACCCUGAAAGAAACGGUAUCUACUUUUGUGUGAAGUGGAUGCGUUUUGGGAUAUAUGUGACAGCUCAUGGACAAUUUCCGCAUGCACGCCCACUUCUCCACCGAUCCAGUCCAGCAGUUAGAAUCACCUUUUUAAUCAACUAUAAAUUGUUCGUCAAAGACUACACCAGGAUUGCCCAACCAUUUGUAGCUCUAGCUUACCUUCCUAAUGUAGUCUAUCCAGGAUUAAAAAGUGUAAUUAAGGACGAGAUCCAUGCAUGCCUCUCUCGCCCGUUGUCCUUUUCAUGGCAAACAAAUGGUCUAUAUGAAUUUGCUUUCAUGUGGUAUUCUGGAGAAUUUGCUUUCAUGCGAUUGGCAUCACUUUCUCCAGCCUAGUAUAUCCAUGUAGCUUGAAAAGAGCCCGACCUUAAUUCUAUUCUAGUCUCUUUCUUUCUCCCUUCACUCUCAGCGAUAGACACCCGCAAAACCAGUAAUAGAUGUUGCAUUCUUGGUAAAAGGCGACAUCAUGUGUAAAUGUCCUCUAAUCGCAAGAAACUGCCCAUGGUUGACACUUCUUUUCCAUUCCAAUAUGGUAAUAUGAAAUAUCUGUUAUAAUAUUAUUACAUCCAAGUUACAUAUACAGUGUUGUGAAAGCUUUAUAUGGAAUUCAAGAUUCUAUUAUAUUCUCAAUAUGAGGUUAAAAAGGUUUCCACAUUUGCUUUGACAUGCUAAAAUUAAUUGUAAAAAGGAGAGAGCUACAUUAUUCAUUCUAUGGGCAUAGGUUCUAAGUUAAGAUGGAGUUUAGUUAGAUGCACAUAGAGACUCAUAUCUCUUAUACAAAUAGUAGAUUUUUAUAAGAGGUAUACAAAGAGUAAGAAUGCAUCUACGUUCAAUGAACAUGUCUUUCUGAUCCGCUUUGGCCAUCACAAAAUGCAAAUAGGCUUGCUAACGGAGUUCACUGUGGUCACUAUAUGCAUCUACUAUGGUCACUAGCCCACAUGUUAGCCUCGUCCACCCUCCAUCCCCAUAACUCUUUGUGCUCUCUUGCCAUGAUGCCAUCACGUCGUUUGAUUUAGGAUUGUGGCACCAGUGAGACGCUGCUCGUGUAGCACUACAUCCAAUGACUCUAUGCUCCUUAGUUUUAAGCUUCCACCCAUCCAUCACCAUUAACAAUUAACAAGAAAUGUGCAGGAGACAGGAAAAAGGAGAUGUAUAGGUCACCGAUGAAUCAAAUUGCUAAAUAAGGUGAGCUUUCUUGCCCUAGAUAUUGGGCAACACAACAACACAUUCGCCUGCAAGACCUAUGUUUAAUGAUGUCACUGGUAUGCGCCUAAGGAUAAGGAGUCAGGGGCAAGGGUGCUGACGCAAACAUGUUGAGGAGGACAAUAUAUGCUUCAACGUGGUAGUGUUUGGAAACACACGAGAUUGACCUAGAUGUCAAUUAGCAUGAGGAUAUCAGAGAGGACAUGUAAUACUUCCUCCGGUCCUUUUUACUCUGCAUAUAAGGAUUGUCUGAAGUCAAACUUCAUAAAGUUUGACCAUAUUUAUAUGAAAAAAUAUUAACAUCUAUAAUGCUAAAUUUAUACAAUAUGAAAGUAAAGUCAUGAUACAUCUAAUGUUGUUGAUUUCACAUUUUAAAUGUUUGUAUUUUUUUCUAUAAACUUGGUCAAAGUUUACGAAGUUUGACUUCAGACAAAUCUUAUAUGCGAACUAAAAAGGACCGAAGGGAGUACAACCUGUUACAUCCGCCCAUGCCAAGGUAUCGUGCUGGCAUGGAUGGGCAUCAGCGACAUAGCAAGAGUGGCACAAGCGCCCUUGGGUGAGGGCGUGGCAGAGAGCGUGCACUGUAAAGGCGGUUGCUUCGCUUAGGCCUCCAUGAGCUCCGUGGCUGCCUGGCUGCAGAGAGAGGGUAAGGAAGAAUCUGACGUGUGGGGCCCUUCUAAUGUAAAUACACUACUAUGUAUAGGAGGUGUGCUAGUGACCGUAUUGGACCUCUGAAGCGUAGUGACCAUAUAUAUUCUGCAAUUUCCUGUAUACAAUGGCCAAAUUGAUUGAGAUGAAGUGGUUCGUUGAUGAUAGAUGAACCUUAUACUCUCAAGAGAAAAUACAACUACCCCCCAACAAAGAAAUGACAUUUAUGCAUGAAAUGCAACUGUGUCUUUACUCUUUAGACAUACACGUUGUUUGUGGGCAGAGCUUAGCUAGUUAAGAAAACGAUAACAAGUCGUAUGUAAGCUAAUUAUGCUAUACAUGCUAGUACAAAGAAUGUAGAAUACACAAUUGUUCUUCGUGUAAUAUUAGAGUAUAUACGUACCAACCGACAGAUUCCCUCCCAUCUCUCUCCUCUCGUCUAUGCAUAACCUCCUAAUUAUGGUCAACAUGUAAGUUAAGAUAACAAAAUAACACAAUUUCGGAGUGGCAAAAGGCUGCAAAUGCAUGAUUAGUUAGUUGUCAGUGUUGGGGGGUCCAAAUUACCCUACUACUUUUAGCAGGACAUGACAGCAGACAGCACGGCUGGGCUCCAUUUCCACGAUAACAUCACUUUCCAUGAUCCCCUUUUAAUUUGUAUGAACAAAACCUAAUUAAUGCUGUGCCGGAUAUGUACAUGCAUGACUGCAACUCGCACUACCACUCUAGUCUCCGAGAUCUUAUUCGUAUAGUCAAGCUAAGCGCAAACUGUGGCACGAGAGAGAGCUACGUCACCGUAUUUUCAGAUACACGUAAGAAAGCCAUAUAGUGUGCAUCAUACCUAUAGCACAACCCUUAGACUUUUUUGCCAACAAUUUGUUUCAAAAGGUUUGCAUGUAUACUCUUUCACCAUUGAUGAUAAUACAAGAUUCACUCAUGCUCCAGUCCUGUACAACACAUUCUAGUCCACACAAUUGGGUUAUCGAUAUCUAUCCUGCUACUACCUCCGUUUCAGUUUACAAGUCCUACGCGUAUACCUAGGUUGCCAAUUUUAUCACCUUAAUAUAAACUAUAUAACACAGAAAUUAUACGGUUUGAAAAUAGAACACUUGAAGUUUAUAUUGGUAUAUUUUUUGUAAUAUAUGACUUGUAUUAGGUUGGUCAAAUUGACGACCUAGGAGCACGUGCACGCCAUGUAAACUGAGAGAGAGGAAGUAGUACUUAUAUUCAUCUUAAUUAUGCUAAAAUCCUUGAUUAAUUAUGGCUGUGGUUAACCCGCAAGCCCUGGCCACCCUUGUUGACAAGCCAUCAAUUAAUUAAGAGGGUCCAAUCCGUAAUAAUACUAAUUAAUCUCCUGUCCCUACUUGAUGUGAGGCCGCACCUUCCACGCAUAUGGUCCCCCCAUGCAUCAUGCAUGAGUGUCACUCGUAGUGUAGCGCUUUUAGCAGCUAGCUGCCGCUAGCGUACCAGUGCACAGUUUUCUUCUUAGUUUCUUUCCAGUGUCACCAUACAUGCCCUGUCUGUGCAUGUAUCCGUCGACAUCCGUGUAAUCCCGUCAAUCCCUUCAUGCGUGUAUACAUCACGUACGCUGUCCUACGAAAAUUGUAUGUAUCACGCACGUACACGUACACGUACGAUGACACACAUCAGUGUGCUCGCUCGUACACCGGCCUGUCCUGCUGGCAAACGUUGAUACGUACAUACGCGCAUUUUACCUAUGCACGUACUCUACCUACCACUGUAAAUACUUUAAAAGUAUGAAUGCGUAUUGUUGUAUCUUUUGCUGGCUGCCCAGCCGUGUUAAUAGUUCUUUGCAGGUCUGUAUGCUUGUGUAUUGUUGUACUUGUUGUAUAGCUGGUGUACGCCCACGCGCGUGCAAUAUGCAUUAUGAAGAUCACAUGCAUGAUAUCUACAUGCGUGGUCCAUUCUCUCCAUCUUUGUUGGAAAUUUUGCACGGUCCAUUCCUUUUCGUCUGCAUAUCCUCAAGGCUAGCUAAGAUCACAACUGUCCAUUGGUGUAGCUCGAAGAGGGAGUGUCACAACUGUUCAUUGGUGUAGCUCGAAGAGGGAGUGUCACAACUGUCCAUUGGUGUAGCUCGAAGAGGGAGUGUACGCGUGGCCUCCAGUAGUAUACGUAGCUAUAGUAUCCUCCUGCCAUGCACGCCGGCCAGUGUCUUGUUCAGACGUCGUUUUUCCUGUCCAAGAGUAUCUCCAUCGGGUCCUAGGAUGAGUGCUUACAAAUAAAAGAUGCCAGCUAUGAAUGGUCUAGCUUUUCUUGCUAGCUGCUAGCUAAUUGAUACGUAUGCAUGCGCAUGGGCAUAUUCCACGUUGCCCAAUAUUCAUCAAGAAUUAUGGGACAGGCAAUUCAUCCAACCCUGUUUAGUUAUAACACAAUAAUUUCACAUGCAUGAAAAUGUUCAAUUCCCAUCCCAUAAGACCCACAAAAUAAAACAGACCAUUACAUCGAAACCUUAUGAAAAAAAGCUGGCAACACAUUGUUUGUGCUACAUCUUAUUUCGUUGGUUGCGACCAUGAUGCAUUGAUGCCCACCUUGAUUAUUUCUGCCGCCUGCAACUAGUGUACAUGUUAAUUAAUUAUCUGCUUUAAACACAUGGCCAUUGAUGCUAAAAUGACUGUAUGUUAUGUUCUCUUCACAAAACCAUUAU